UUAUUAACCCUUUCCUCCAUGGAUUUUUUUUUUUAAUAUACUUGAUUCGCAUAGGAUUUUUUUCAUUAAAAAAAUCAUCAGUUUUAAAGUGCUAAUGCAUUGUGAAAACUAAUAUUUCAUCAAUGAAAUUGAAGUCAGAUAAUUCUCAUGAAUCUCCUUUUCAUAUUGGAUACAAUUUUUUUUAAGUCUGAUGCAGACAUUUUGUAGUCAAAGCAUUUCAACUGAGGUACUACACAGGCGUCAAAAGGUGUCAUUAUGGAGUAAAGGGGGUGGCGUCAAAAGGCGUCAUUAUGGAGGAAAGGGUUAAUAUUUAUUUGUGUCCUGGCAAUAUCACAAGAACCAUUACUGAUGAAUGGUGAAAGUGAAAAUCGUCAAUAUCAAAUUUGACCUCCAUUUUGUCAUCAGUAUCAACAUCUUAAAAUUUGAAAAGCUUAGAUUGAAUGGUUCAUGAGAAAAUGCAACAACGUGAAUGGAAACGCCAUUUCACAAUCUUUCAAGAACCAUAACUCCUGAACGGUAAAAGUCAAAAUCGUCAUUAUUGAACUUGACCUCUAAUUUGCCAUCAGUAACAACAUAUAAAAAUUUCAAAAGCUUUGGUUGAAUAGUUCAUGAGAAAAUGCACGGACACGACUGGAAACACCAUUUUUCAAUCUUUCAAGAACCAUUACUCC
rnacentral:lncRNA from 1 species